rnacentral:rRNA from 1 species
CGCGCAGGCGGUUUGUUAAGUCAGAUGUGAAAGCCCGGGGCUCAACCCCGGAAGUGCAUUUGAAACUAAUAGACUUGAGUAUGGGAGAGGGAAGUGGAAUUCCUGGUGUAGAGGUGAAAUUCGUAGAUAUCAGGAGGAACACCGGUGGCGAAGGCGACUUCCUGGACCAAUACUGACGCUGAGGCGCGAAGGCGUGGGGAGCAAACA